GAUGAACGCUGGCGGCGUGCCUAAUACAUGCAAGUCGAGCGAACAGACGAGGAUCUUGCUCCUCUGACGUUAGCGGCGGACGGGUGAGUAACACGUGGAUAACCUACCUAUAAGACUGGGAUAACUUCGGGAAACCGGAGCUAUUACCGGAUAAUAUAUUGAACCGCAUGGUUCAAUAGUGAAAGACGCUUUUGCUGUCACUUAUAGAUGGAUCCGCGCCGCAUUAGCUAGUUGGUAAGGUAACGGCUUACCAAGGCAACGAUGCGUAGCCGACCUCAGAGGGUGAUCGGCGACACUGGAACUGCGACACGGUGCAGACUCCUACGGGAGGCAGCAGUAGGGAAUCUUCCGCAAUGGGCGGAAGCCUGACGGAGCAGCGCCGCGUGAGUGAUGAAGGUCUUCGGAUCGUAGAACUCUGUUAUUAGGGAAGAACAAAUGUGUAAGUAACUAUGCACGUCUUGCCGGUACCUAAUCAGAAAGCCACGGCUAACUACGUG
rnacentral:rRNA from 1 species